CAUCUUCUUCCUAAUUUCCUCUGCUCCUCUCUUACUUGCCCUUUCAUUUCUCUGUCUCAAAUCUUCAGAGAAAAAAAAGCAUUUAAAACUCUCUCAAAACUCUCUAGUCUCUCUCGGUUCUCACUCAUCUCCCUGCCAAACCUAUCUUUAUCCCUUGAUGAAAACAACAACAAUAGAAAUUCAAAUCUCUUGCAUCAAUCCAAUACAUUUCAACAACCCAAUUCAUAAAUCAAAAUGAACUCGAAAACAAAAGAAUGAUUCAUAGCCAAGGUGGUGGCUGAAGGCGUUCGGACUUGGAGUGGCAUACGGAUAACACCGUCACGGUACUGCUGGGAGCACGUCGGCGCUAAUGUGGUUAAGUGUCUUCGCGAGUCUUGCGGCUCAGAUUGGAAGUGCGUGAAUAAGUUCGGUGAUGAACGGGACUGAGGGCUGCCUUUAAGACAGAAUUCCUCAUCGUCGAGGAGAAGCUCAUCGGAUUGGGAACCGCAGCUUCGUCAGUGUCUGUGCACCGUGACUCCAUGCUUGUUGUUGCUGAAAGAAAGAAGAAAUUAGAUAAAUAUUGUGAUGGCUGUAACAAGUUGAUGAAUGUUUAUUUUAAAUGUUUUUUGAAUAUGAUGUUGCUGGUUUUUGUGUUAGGAAAAUCGGGAAUGCUUAGACAGAUCUUGAAGGCUUGAAGUAGUAAAGAUGAAGGAUAUGGUGAUGCCGCUGAAUCUGAACUCGUCGGAGCGUUGUGCUGAGAUUUGGAGCUUGCGUUUGGUGUUGUUUGAAUCGAUAUCGCGUAGGUGUUGAUGACAGUGGGGUUCGUCGGCGAGAUUCGCGUGCAUUCUUGCUCCUUUCAAUUCUUCUUUCAACCUAUGAUAUAAGACAUAACAAAAAUAAUGAAAGAGGAGAAAUGUUAGUGUUCAUUUGAUUUGUUGUUGUUUGGCAUGAAAAAUAUGCAGGGGCUGAUUUUGGUUUCAGUUUUUGAAAGUGAAUUUUGUGAGUUGUAAAGGUUGUGAUGAAGAUAAUGAUGUUUAUGUAUAAGAUUUUGGUUAGUUCGUAAAAAACAAAAAAAUUGAAGAUGAUUGAAUAUUUGUUAUUGUGUAGUGAUUGGAUGAAAAUUUGUACA